rnacentral:rRNA from 1 species
UACGGGGGGGGCAAGCGUUGUUCGGAAUUACUGGGCGUAAAGGGCUCGUAGGUGGCCAACUAAGUCAGACGUGAAAUCCCUCGGCUUAACCGGGGAACUGCGUCUGAUACUGGAUGGCUUGAGUUUGGGAGAGGGACGCGGAAUUCCAGGUGUAGCGGUGAAAUGCGUAGAUAUCAGGAGGAACACCGGUGGCGAAGGCGGGUCUCUGGGCCGACAUUGACGCUGAGGAGCGAAAGCGUGGGGAGCGAGCAGG